rnacentral:lncRNA from 1 species
ACAACUAAUCAUGGCAUCUUAUCAUAUCUCUAAGAUAUGAAAACAUAAUCAUACAAUAUGAUUAUAACUAAGCAUCUCAAAUAUAUCACAUAUGCAUGAAAUUCUAAUAACAUGCAUGAAUACAAAGUACUCUUUUUAUUGUUCUUCUUCUUGGAACAUUACAAUAGCACCCCUACACGUCAUAAGGUACUCCUAAUGGA